ACUACGGGAGGCUGCAGUGGGGAAUAUUGGACAAUGGGCGAAAGCCUGAUCCAGCCAUGCCGCGUGUGUGAAGAAGGCCUUCGGGUUGUAAAGCACUUUCAGUGGGGAAGAAAGCCUUGGGGCUAAUACCCUCGAGGAAGGACAUCACCCACAGAAGAAGCACCGGCUAACUCCGUGCCAGCAGCCGCGGUAAUACGGAGGGUGCGAGCGUUAAUCGGAAUUACUGGGCGUAAAGCGCGCGUAGGCGGUCUGAUAAGCCGGUUGUGAAAGCCCCGGGCUCAACCUGGGAACGGCAUCCGGAACUGUCAGGCUAGAGUGCAGGAGAGGAAGGUAGAAUUCCCGGUGUAGCGGUGAAAUGCGUAGAGAUCGGGAGGAAUACCAGUGGCGAAGGCGGCCUUCUGGACUGACACUGACGCUGAGGUGCGAAAGCGUGGGUAGCAAACAGGAUUACAUACCCUAGUAGUC
rnacentral:rRNA from 1 species